AGAGUUUGAUCAUGGCUCAGGACGAACGCUGGCGGCGUGCUUAACACAUGCAAGUCGAACGGAAAGGCCCUUCGGGGUACUCGAGUGGCGAACGGGUGAGUAACACGUGGGUGAUCUGCCCUGCACUUUGGGAUAAGCCUGGGAAACUGGGUCUAAUACCGAAUAGGACCACGCGCUUCAUGGUGUGUGGUGGAAAGCUUUUGCGGUGUGGGAUGGGCCCGCGGCCUAUCAGCUUGUUGGUGGGGUAAUGGCCUACCAAGGCGACGACGGGUAGCCGGCCUGAGAGGGUGACCGGCCACACUGGGACUGAGAUACGGCCCAGACUCCUACGGGAGGCAGCAAUGGGGAAUAUUGCACAAUGGGCGCAAGCCUGAUGCAGCGACGCCGCGUGAGGGAUGACGGCCUUCGGGUUGUAAACCUCUUUCACCAGGGACGAAGCGCAAGUGACGGUACCUGGAGAAGAAGCACCGGCCAACUACGUGCCAGCAGCCGCGGUAAUACGUAGGGUGCGAGCGUUGUCCGGAAUUACUGGGCGUAAAGAGCUCGUAGGUGGUUUGUCGCGCUGUUCGUGAAAACUCACAGCUUAACUGUGGGCGUGCGGGCGAUACGGGCAGACUAGAGUACUGCAGGGGAGACUGGAAUUCCUGGUGUAGCGGUGGAAUGCGCAGAUAUCAGGAGGAACACCGGUGGCGAAGGCGGGUCUCUGGGCAGUAACUGACGCUGAGGAGCGAAAGCGUGGGGAGCGAACAGGAUUAGAUACCCUGGUAGUCCAA
rnacentral:rRNA from 1 species